UACGUAGGGUGCGAGCGCUAAUCGGAAUUACUGGGCGUAAAGCGUGCGUAGGCGGUUUGUUAAGACAGGUGUGAAAUCCCCGGGCUUAACCUGGGAACUGCGCUUGUUACUGGCAGACUGGAGUGUGGCAGAGGGGGGUGGAAUUCCAGGUGUAGCAGUGAAAUGCGUAGAUAUCUGGAGGAACACCGAUGGCGAAGGCAGCCCCCUGGGCUAACACUGACGCUGAUGCACGAAAGCGUGGGGAGCAAACAGG
rnacentral:rRNA from 1 species